rnacentral:rRNA from 1 species
CUACGGGGUGCUGCAGUGGGGAAUAUUGGACAAUGGGGGAAACCCUGAUCCAGCAAUGCCGCGUGUGUGAAGAAGGCCUGCGGGUUGUAAAGCACUUUCGGUUGGGAGGACUGCUUCCAGCACUAAUAUUGUUGGAAGUUGACGUUACCUUCAGAAGAAGCACCGGCUAACUCCGUGCCAGCAGCCGCGGUAAUACGGAGGGUGCAAGUGUUAAUCGGAAUUACUGGGCGUAAAGCGCGCGUAGGCGGCUAGAUCAGUCGGGUGUGAAAGCCCCGGGCUUAACCUGGGAACUGCAUCCGAUACUGUCUAGCUUGAGUACAGGAGAGGAGAGUGGAAUUCCACAUGUAGCGGUGAAAUGCGUAGAUAUGUGGAGGAACACCAAUGGCGAAGGCAGCUCUCUGGCCUGAUACUGACGCUGAGGUGCGAAAGCGUGGGGAGCAAACAGGAUUAGAUACCCGUGUAGUC